UGGGGAAUUUUGGACAAUGGGGGGAAACCCUGAUCCAGCCAUCCCGCGUGUGCGAUGAAGGCCUUCGGGUUGUAAAGCACUUUUGGCAGGAAAGAAACGUCGCGGGUUAAUACCCCGCGAAACUGACGGUACCUGCAGAAUAAGCACCGGCUAACUACGUGCCAGCAGCCGCGGUAAUACGUAGGGUGCAAGCGUUAAUCGGAAUUACUGGGCGUAAAGCGUGCGCAGGCGGUUCGGAAAGAAGGAUGUGAAAUCCCAGAGCUUAACUUUGGAACUGCAUUUUUUAACUACCGGGCUAGAGUGUGUCAGAGGGAGGUGGAAUUCCGCGUGUAGCAGUGAAAUGCGUAGAUAUGCGGAGGAACACCGAUGGCGAAGGCAGCCUCCUGGGAUAACACUGACGCUCAUGCACGAAAGCGUGGGGAGCAAACAGGAUUAGAUACCCUGGUAGUCCACGCCCUAAACGAUGUCAACUAGCUGUUGGGGCCUUCGGGCCUUGGUAGCGCAGCUAACGCGUGAAGUUGACCGCCUGGGGAGUACGGUCGCAAG
rnacentral:rRNA from 1 species